UACGGAGGAUCCAAGCGUUAUCCGGAAUCAUUGGGUUUAAAGGGUCCGUAGGCGGUGUGGUAAGUCAGUGGUGAAAGCCCAUCGCUCAACGGUGGAACGGCCAUUGAUACUGCCAGACUUGAAUUAUUAGGAAGUAACUAGAAUAUGUAGUGUAGCGGUGAAAUGCUUAGAGAUUACAUGGAAUACCAAUUGCGAAGGCAGGUUACUACUAAUGGAUUGACGCUGAUGGACGAAAGCGUGGGUAGCGAACAGG
rnacentral:rRNA from 1 species